AACCUAGCACACCUGCGGUGUGUACCUGCGGAGGGAUCAUUACUGAGUGUAAAAACUCCAAACCCAUGUGAACUUACCACUGUUGCCUCGGCGCAGUUUCCUGUCUGGUGGCGAGAGCUGCUGGGCGGGUUGCGCCGGUGGACUACCAAACUCUUGUAAUUUUGGCAUUCUGAAUAAAAAACUUAAUAAGUUAAAACUUUCAACAAUGGAUCU
rnacentral:misc_RNA from 1 species